CAAAUCCAUCCUAAAUCCACCCCAAACCCCCGCGCACCAUGCUGCUGUUCCUGCAGGACCAGGUCAGACCCCAAAUCCAUCCUAAACCACCCCAAAUCCAUCCUAAACCCAUCCCAAUCCCCUCUGCACCGUGCUGCUGUUCCUGCAGGACCAGGUCAGACCCUAAAUCCAUCCCAAAUCCAUCCUAAAUCCAUCCCAACCCCCGCUGCAUGGUGCUGCUGUUCCUGCAGGACCAGGUCAGACCCCAAAUCCACCCCAAAUCCAUCCUAAAUCCAUCCCAAACCCCCUCUGCACCGUGCUGCUGUUCCUGCAGGACCAGGUCAGAUCCCAAAUCCAUCCUAAAUCCAUCCCAAACCACCCUGAGACCCCAAAUCCAUCCCAAUCCACCCCAAAUCACCCCAAACCACCCCAAAUCCAUCCUAAAUCUAUACCAAACCACCUUGAGACCCCAAAUCCACCCCAAAUCCAUCCUAAAUCUAUACCAAACCACCUUGAGACCCCAAAUCCACCCCAAACCAUCCCAAAUCCAUCCUAAAUCUAUCCCAAACCCCCGCGCACCGUGCUGCUGUUCCUGCAGGACCAGCUCAGCCUGGAGGAUUUCACGGCUUUUGGGGGCGUUUUUGGGAACGAACCCGACGGGGCCUUCACCCGACUGCAGGGUGCCCUGGGCUCAGCAGGGUCAGCCCUGGCCCUGCCCUCGGUGGCCGGAGCGGCCGCGGCCGCGCUGCCCCUCACCCUCCAGAGGGCUCUGGGUGCCCCUCCCCCGCUGCGGCUGCCCGGGGGGGGCCUGGGGGGGCUCCGGCUCAACCGCUCCGACCCCGCCCUGCUGCUUGUGGGGCUGCCCCAUAGCCGGAGGUGAGUGAGAAACCCCACAGAAACCCCAUAGAAACCAUGUAGAGAUCCCAUAGAAACCCAUAGAAACCCUGUGGAAAACCCCAUAAAAACCUGCGUAAUGAUACUCACAGAAACCCCAUAGAAACCCUAUAGAGAUCCCAUAGAAACCCUGUAGAAAACCCCAUAAAAACCUGCGUAAUGAUACCUACAGAAACGCAAUAGAAACCCCAUAGAAACCCUGUAGAGAUCCCGUAGAAACCCUUUAGA